rnacentral:rRNA from 1 species
AGAGUUUGAUCAUGGCUCAGGAUGAACGCUGGCGGCGUGCCUAAUACAUGCAAGUCGAGCGGUAAGGCCCUUCGGGGUACACGAGCGGCGGACGGCUGAGUAACACGUAGGAACGUACCCCAAAGUGAGGGAUAAGCACCAGAAAUGGUGUCUAAUACCGCAUGUGCUCUAAGGAGUAAAGCUCCGGCGCUUUGGGAACGGCCUGCGCAUGAUUAGCUAGAUGGUGAGGUAAUGGCUCACCAUGGCGACGAUCAUUAGCUGGUCUGAGAGGAUGAUCAGCCAGACUGGGACUGAGACACGGCCCAGACUCCUACGGGAGGCAGCAGUAGGGAAUUUUCCACAAUGGGCGAAAGCCUGAUGGAGCAACGCCGCGUGCAGGAUGAAUGCCUUCGGGUUGUAAACUGCUUUUAUAUGUGACGAAUAUGACGGUAGCAUAUGAAUAAGGAUCGGCUAACUCCGUGCCAGCAGCCGCGGUCAUACGGAGGAUCCAAGCGUUAUCCGGAAUUACUGGGCGUAAAGAGUUGCGUAGGCGGCAUAGUAAGCAGAUAGUGAAAGCGUGUGGCUCAACCAUACUCACAUUAUCUGAACUGCUAAGCUAGAGGACGAGAGAGGUCACUGGAAUUCCUAGUGUAGGAGUGAAAUCCGUAGAUAUUAGGAGGAACACCAAUGGCGUAGGCAGGUGACUGGCUCGUUCCUGACGCUCAGGCACGAAAGCGUGGGGAGCAAACGGGAUUAGAUACCCCGGUAGUCCACGCCGUAAACGAUGGAUGCUAGCUGUUAGAGGUAUCGACCCCUCU